UACGGGGGGGGCAAGCGUUGUUCGGAAUUACUGGGCGUAAAGGGUUCGUAGGUGGCUCGCUAAGUCAGACGUGAAAUCCCUCGGCUCGACCGGGGAACUGCGUCUGAGACUGGAGAGCUUGAGUGCAGGAGAGGAACGCGGAAUUCCAGGUGUAGCGGUGAAAUGCGUAGAUAUCUGGAGGAACACCGGUGGCGAAGGCGGCAUCCUGGACCGAUAUUGACGCUGAUGCGCGAAAGCCAGGGGAGCAAACGGG
rnacentral:rRNA from 1 species